CCCGCACACACCCCGCUGGGCAGCAACUGAUGAGUCCGGUUCCGGGAUCGCAAUAGAUGGAGGCGGCGGCAGCAGCAGCUUCUGACCCAGGAAGUUCAACCCCGAGCCCGCAGGGCAGAGACGGAGCAGCCGCCUCCCUCCCUUAGCUGUCGCCAGAGCCCGGCAGCGACUGCAGCUCACGAGCCCCCUGCCGUAGCGACCGUGCCGACAGAGGAGCGGCUGAGCCGGCUGCCCCACAGAUCCUUCAUCUACUGAGAAACUGGAAAAUCCACAAUGGGACUCUGGAAAACAAAAACUGUGAAACACAAGAGACAAAUACAUAGGCACAACUGUGGGCCACUCAUCCUAAAGUUUGCAGAAAUCAAUUUACAGCAUAAAGACAUCGGUACUUUAGAAACCACACAAAAGGCUCUAUCUACUUAUAGAAGAAAAAUAGCAAUGCUUUUAAUAAAAGAGUCAGGUAAUAACUUUGUUACAUAUACCUAGUGUGCCAAUCAUAUAUGGGGAAGAUAACAGGAAGAGUGGAAUAAUGUCACAACACAAGCAAUUAUCUUCAUACACCUGCAGUGGGGUAUAUCAAGUUUGGUUCUAUAAUGGUGACUCUGUAUGAAUAAUUUCUUUAAGUAGUGAAAAAUGUGGAAAGGGUGAACGGUUGAUAUUGAUAGAGCAAUGAAAUCUAAUUAGAUAUCGUUAUAUCCACCAGUAGUAAACAAAAAGUUUGAGAAACAUACACUGGGGUACCAAACAUAAUUUAAAAUAUGACCGCCAAAAGACAUAAAUAUUUGCAAACCAGUAACUUAAUUGAUAUAAAUGACAUUAAUGACUAAAUCAAUAUAUCUGUUUAGAGUUUUGGUCAUAAUGUAAUCAUCAUUUGAGUAAAUUAUAUUGAUUUUUCAGAGAGCAUAGAGGAGUACUGCAUGUACUGCAACCUUGUCACUUGUGAAAAAGAAAAUGAAGAUUGCAUGAUAAUAAGAAACACAAAAUUGUAUUAGAAAUAUAUACCAUGUGUUGGAGCAGACAAGUAAGCAGAAUAUGAUGGUUUAUAGUACAAGAACAAAAGUCAUGACCCAAGAUCUAGCCAGUUGCAUAUAGACUCUAUGGAAUAAUCUGUCCAAGGAUUAGGAUUCUUGUAAUAAUUCCACUUUAAUAAAUAUUUCCACUGCUGCUGCUAGUCAUAUCUUGACUAAUGAUUAUAUGUUCAAGGAAUAUUAUUUUAUAAAUUUUAUGAGUUAAUUGAAAUUAUAUUUAGCAUUAUU